rnacentral:piRNA from 1 species
CUCCGGUUGAUGUGCUACCUGGGCUUA